GGGAACAUGGCGCAGUCGGUAGCGCGUUAGCCUGUCAAGCUAAAGGGCGCGGGUUCAAGUCCCGUUGCUCCC
rnacentral:tRNA from 2 species